CUCCUACGGGAGGCAGCAGUGGGGAAUUGUUCGCAAUGGGCGCAAGCCUGACGACGCAACGCCGCGUGGAGGAUGAAGGUCUUCGGAUUGUAAACUCCUGUUGCUCGGGACGAAAAGCUUCGACCUAAUACGUCGAAGUCUGACGGUACCGAGUGAGGAAGCCCCGGCUAACUCUGUGCCAGCAGCCGCGGUAAUACAGA
rnacentral:rRNA from 1 species